rnacentral:rRNA from 1 species
AACGAACGCUGGCGGCAUGCCUAACACAUGCAAGUCGAACGAAACCUUCGGGUCUUGUGGCGCCCGGGUGCGUAACGCGUGGGAACCUGCCCUUAGGUUCGGACUAACUCCCCGAAAGGGGUGCUAAUACCGGAUAAUAUCUUCGACCCAAAGAUUUAUCGCCUUUGGAUGGGCCUGCGUUGGAUUAGCUCGUUGGUAGGGUAAAAGCCUACCAAGGCGACGAUCCGUAGCUGGUCUGAGAGGCGGAUCAGCCACACCGGGACUGAGACCCGGCCCAGACUCCUACGGGAGGCAGCAGUGGGGAAUAUUGGACAAUGGGCGAAAGCCUGAUCCAGCAAUGCCGCGUGAGUGAUGAAGGCCUUAGGGUUGUAAAGCUCUUUUACCCGGGAUGAUAAUGACAGUACCGGGAGAAUAAGCUCCGGCUAACUCCGUG